rnacentral:misc_RNA from 1 species
AACGCACCUUGCGCUCCUUGGUAUUCCGAGGAGCAUGCCUGUUUGAGUGUCAUUAAUUUCUCAACCUCACCUGGUUUUCGAACCUGUGUGAUGGCUUGGACUUGGGAGUUUUGCAGGCUGCAGUCUACUGCGGUUCUGCUCUCCUUAAAUGUAUUAGCAGGUCUUUUACCUCUAUCCCAACGGUGUGAUAAUCUAUCUACGCUGCUGGUUUGGAGACCCUUCACUGGGGGACUGGCUUCUAACCGUCCGCAAGGACAAUAUGACCAAUCUUGACCUCAAAUCAGGUAGGACUACCCGCUGAACUUAA